UCCUGGAGAUCAGGCGUUCCCUUCGGGGACAUCUAGAUACAGGUGCUGCAUGGUUGUCGUCAGCUCGUGUCGUGAGAUGUUGGGUUAAGUCCCGCAACGAGCGCAACCCUUGUCCUUUGUUGCCAGCAUUUUAGUUGGGCACUCUAAGGAGACUGCCGGUGACAAACCGGAGGAAGGUGGGGAUGACGUCAAAUCAUCAUGCCCCUUAUGGCCAGGGCUACACACGUGCUACAAUGGACGGUACAAAGGGCUGCGACACCGCGAGGUGAAGCUAAUCCCAAAAAGCCGUUCUCAGUUCGGAUUGCAGUCUGCAACUCGCCUCCAUGAAGUCGGAAUCGCUAGUAAUCGCGGAUCAGCAUGCCGCGGUGAAUACGUUCCCGGGCCUUGUACACACCGCCCGUCACACCAUGAGAGUUUGUUGCACCAGAAGUCGGUGGGGUAA
rnacentral:rRNA from 1 species